CGGCGGUGAUGAGGAUCUGAGAUUGUCAUGCACCACUCUGAUGAUGCUUGCAUCAAUCUGUGCUGAUAAGUUUCUCAAUACCCAUUGAAUCUGAGCUU